rnacentral:rRNA from 1 species
CCUACGGGAGGCAGCAGUGAGGAAUAUUGGUCAAUGGACGAGAGUCUGAACCAGCCAAGUAGCGUGAAGGAUGACUGCCCUAUGGGUUGUAAACUUCUUUUAUAUGGGAAUAAAACAGGGUAUGCAUACCCUCUUGUAUGUACCAUAUGAAUAAGGAUCGGCUAAUUCCGUGCCAGCAGCCGCGGUAAUACGGAGGAUCCGAGCGUUAUCCGGAUUUAUUGGGUUUAAAGGGAGCGUAGGUGGAUUGUUAAGUCAGUUGUGAAAGUUUGCGGCUCAACCGUAAAAGUGCAGUUGAAACUGGCAGUCUUGAGUACAGUAGAGGUGGGCGGAAUUCGUGGUGUAGCGGUGAAAUGCUUAGAUAUCACGAAGAACUCCGAUUGCGAAGGCAGCUCACUGGACUGCAACUGACACUGAUGCUCGAAAGUGUGGGUAUCGAACAGGAUUAGAUACCCGAGUAGUC